rnacentral:tRNA from 1 species
GGUGAGGUGUCCGAGUGAAGGAGCACGCCUGGAAAGUGUGUAUACGGCAACGUAUCGGGGGUUCGAAUCCCCCCCUCACCGCCA